UACGUAGGGUGCGAGCGUUGUCCGGAAUUACUGGGCGUAAAGAGCGUGUAGGCGGCCAGACAGGUCAGCUGUGAAAACUCGAGGCUCAACCUCGAGACGUCGGUUGAAACCGUCUGGCUAGAGUCCGGAAGAGGAGAGUGGAAUUCCCGGUGUAGCGGUGAAAUGCGCAGAUAUCGGGAAGAACACCCGUGGCGAAGGCGGCUCUCUGGGACGGUACUGACGCUGAGACGCGAAAGCGUGGGGAGCGAACAGG
rnacentral:rRNA from 1 species